AUUGAACGCUGGCGGCAGGCCUAACACAUGCAAGUCGAGCGGAUGAAGGGAGCUUGCUCCUGGAUUCAGCGGCGGACGGGUGAGUAAUGCCUAGGAAUCUGCCUGGUAGUGGGGGAUAACGUCCGGAAACGGGCGCUAAUACCGCAUACGUCCUGAGGGAGAAAGUGGGGGAUCUUCGGACCUCACGCUAUCAGAUGAGCCUAGGUCGGAUUAGCUAGUUGGUGGGGUAAAGGCCUACCAAGGCGACGAUCCGUAACUGGUCUGAGAGGAUGAUCAGUCACACUGGAACUGAGACACGGUCCAGACUCCUACGGGAGGCAGCAGUGGGGAAUAUUGGACAAUGGGCGAAAGCCUGAUCCAGCCAUGCCGCGUGUGUGAAGAAGGUCUUCGGAUUGUAAAGCACCUUAAGUUGGGAGGAAGGGCAGUAAGUUAAUACCUUGCUGUUUUGACGUUACCAACAGAAUAAGCACCGGCUAACUUCGU
rnacentral:rRNA from 1 species